ensembl:lncRNA
CAGAUUGUGUCAGUGAUUUUCUGAGUCAUAGUUUGGUAUUCUGACUCUGUUGCUCAGGCUCAUGUUACUCAGUCUGACAUUUUGGAUUAUUCUGCUUUAUUUCUCCUGGACCUUUGUUCUGAGCCCCGUAUGCCCUAGAUCUGCGACUGCUUUAAGACUGUUUGAGUUUGUUUUUGGAUUUUGACCUGGUUUGCACUUUGACACUGAGACUGACAACUGAUUUGAUCUGUUUGCUAAGGAAUCUUCACCUCACCUUGCUUGGUCUGUAAGUUGGUCUUUGUCUGAGUCCUGACACAUUAAAACAAAUUCUGCACUUCUAAUAGGCUUACAGGGUCAUUCAGUUACUGUCCUAUAUAACAAAAAUAUUGUAGCGUGCAGGGGGAUUGUGCACAUGUGUUUGCAUAGUAGUUCACCCCAUAAUGUGUGCCUGUUAGAAUUAUCAAUGUUCAAUUCUGUUUAAUGUUCCAUUUUAGAAUGUGUUUUAGAAUGUGAGUUUCUGUUAUUUAGAGUCUGUGCACAUAUGUAGUUGUCUGUGUAGUUGUCUGUGUAUUAUUGUAUUUGUCCACCAUUACCAUUGCCAAGAUUAGUCCUCCAUCUUAUCUUGGGAUGCGUGUCUAGAAAGCAUAAUUUUCUAACCACUGCCACAAUCUUGGUCGUUACAACCGUCGUUCAAUACAACGGUACAAUAGUGUUUUUUCGAAAGCGUAGUUACACCGAUCAAUCAGAAACGUGGUUGCAAAGUUGGGUGGUUGGAACAACUGCUCGAGACCAGACGUUAGAAGCAUCAUUCCUGGAUAUUUAUUGUUAACGUUUUCAUUGCGUUAGUUAGAUUAAUCCUUUCCCUACCUACUUGAAUUUACCAACUAAAUUUCACUUAUCAUUCAUUUUAAUUUUUUUUAAAGUGAAGCGCUGUAUAACGCACCACUGUUUUCGUUUUAAUAAAUGUUUAGCUACCUUUUGUCGGGGCAAAAUUAUCUACACUGCCCGCUUAGUAAAUUCAAAAUCUAAAUUUCGCUUGCUUUCAUUGCUAUGAUGCCCAACUACACCUAUCAAUGAAACCUGAUGAAAUUACACAACUACCUAAAAUAGAAUCUAAAUAUAUUGUAUAUGAUGUAAAUAAAUAUCAAAUCAUGAUGAAUAACAUUUUCCUCCUCCUUAACACAGAUACAACUGAAGUUAUGAUUGUAGGCCCAAAACAUUUGAGACUGAUGCUUUCCAGCCAUUUACUCACACUUGAUUGCAUCUCAGUAACAUCCAACACAGGUGUCAAAGAUCUUGGUGUAUCUAUUGACCAAGACCUCUCAUUGGACUCACAAAACGGAUUUCAAAGUCACAUUUAUUCAUCUGCGCAAUAUUACUAAAACCAAGAAAAAUCCUAUCCCUUCAAUAUGAAGAAAACAAAUCCAUAAUUAGAAAUACAUUUAUUACUUUGCGACGAGACUACUGCAAUGCUCUCUUAUCCGGAUGCAACAAUAACUCGCUAAAAAGCCUCCUGUCCAACUGAUGCAAAAUGUUGCUGCUCGCACACUGACUAGGACAAAAAAAUAUGAACAUGAUGGAACUGAAUAUUGACAUUGUUUUAUAUUAUCUUUCUCUGUAACCCAUGUUCAUGUUAAUGUACUCUGUCCUUGUCUCGGCCAGAGCAGAUACCUCCUCCAACCAUUAGCUUUCAAAUGGCUUUUGUGAGGAUUCCGGCUCUCCUGUAUGCAUUUUGAACCCC